rnacentral:lncRNA from 1 species
AGCUGGAUCACUUGAGGUCAGGAGUUUGAGAACAGCCUGACCAACAUGACGAAACCCUGUCUCUACUAAAAAUACAAAAAAGUUAGUCGCGCAUGGUGGCGGGUCCCUGUAACCCCAACUACUCAGGAGGCUGUCCAAAGCUUACAGGCUUAUCAAGUGGAAUCUUUUUUGACAUGAGGCCUCACUCUGUCCCUGAGGCUGGUGUGCAGUGGUACCAUCUCGGCUCACUGCAGCCUCAACUUCCUACGUUCAAGCGAUCCUACCCCCUCAGCCUCUGGAGUAGCUGGGUCUACAGUCGUGCACAACCACACCCAGCUGAUUUUUUAUUUUUGGUGGAGAUAUCCUUUUUGUAGGCCUCCCUAUGUUGCUCAGGCUGGUCUCAAACUCCUGGGCUCAAUCGAUCACCCACCUUGGCUUCCCAAAGUGCUGAGAUUAGAGGCAUGAACCACGAUGCCUGGCCUGGAAUCUUUAAAUAUUAAUAAUUCAAAAACCAAGAAGGGAAGCCCCAGCAACUUUAGAUGGCUAUAAAUAAUUAGGCACUCAAUCAGGAUUGAGUGCUUAGAAAUCUUGGAGUUUGUUUUAACACAAUGUGCUUUCCUGGAAAUCAUAUAACAAGAUAGUAAAUGCUACCCUCACUCAGACCUGAGGAACCAUAUUUAAGAUGGUUCCUCUUGCAAUAAACGUGCUGGCCAGCCACCCAAAUUCUGCCUUAGCAAAGUCAUGAUGGGGUGCGGGGAUACGGCUGAGAUGACACCCAGAUACAAAUCUAUAGACAUUAUGAAACAAUUUCCUUUCCUGCCUCUUGCGUAUAUCUGCCUCCCUCCUCUCGCCCCAGCUACUUCUCUAGCACUCUAAACUCUAGCUCAGGCUUGAGCAAACCGGGCUGGAUUAGCAGCUGACUCCUACAGUCAUAGCACUGCACAGAGAGAACCCAGACACUUCCUAUCAGGACCACAAGGCAGAGAUCUGCUCUGUCCAGCUCUGGAAUUGACUGGACUGGCUCAUGACUGUCAACCUAUUUCUGAGAACAUAAAAAGGUCCCUUUCAGACUGCCACCAAUUCAGAGGGCUAGAAUUUUAGAUAAAAACAGUAUAUCCAGUAAUCUGUUCUCUCUUGUAGACACUUCCUCGUUUUUUUGAGACAGGGUCUCGUUCUGUCACCGAAGCUGGAGUGCAGUGGCAUGAUCACAGCUCACUGCUGCCUAGAACUCCAGGGCUCAACUGAUCCUCCUGCCUCAGCCUC